rnacentral:misc_RNA from 1 species
CCGCGCUGGUCGGUCCGUCCGGCGGCGGAAAGUCCACCGUGCUGGCCUUGCUGCUACGGCUGUACGAAGCAAAAUUCGGUGCCAUCGUCAUCGACGGGCAGAUCAUCUCCGACCUCUCGCGGCGCUCGCUGCGCCAGCAGACUGCCUAUGUGGGUCAGGAUGUUUACCUGUUCCGCGACACUAUCCGCGAGAACAUCGCGUUCGGCAAAGCCGGGGCGUCGGACGAAGAAAUCGUCAACGCUGCGAAGGCCGCCUGCGCCCACGAUUUCAUCAUGAGCUUCCCGCUCGGCUA